CCCUUAGACGUUCUGGGCCGCACGCGCGCUACACUGACCAAUGCAACAAGCAUCCGUCCUUGGCCGACAGGCUCGGGCAAUCUUUGAACGCUGGUCGUGAUGGGGAUAGACUUUUGCAAUUUUUGGUCUUCAACGAGGAAUUCCUAGUAAACGCAAGUCAUCAACUUGCAUUGAUUACGUCCCUGCCCUUUGUACACACCGCCCGUCGCACCUACCGAUUGAAUGGUCCGGUGAAGCCUCCGGAUUGGCGCGCACCUCGGUGCCGCCGAGAAGUUGGCUAAACCUUACCAUUUAGAGGAAGGUGAAGUCGUANCA
rnacentral:rRNA from 1 species